rnacentral:rRNA from 1 species
AUCGUACCCCAAACCGACACAGGUGGUCAGGUAGAGAAUACCAAGGCGCUUGAGAGAACUCGGGUGAAGGAACUAGGCAAAAUGGUGCCGUAACUUCGGGAGAAGGCACGCUGAUAGGUAGGUGAAGUCCCUGCGGACGGAGCUGAAAUCAGUCGAAGAUACCAGCUGGCUGCAACUGUUUAUUAAAAACACAGCACUGUGCAAACACGAAAGUGGACGUAUACGGUGUGACGCCUGCCCGGUGCCGGAAGGGUAAUUGAUGGG